GGCGCAAGGGUGCGUAACGCGUGAGCAACUUGCCCGUUUCUGGGGAAUAACCGGUGGAAACGCCGACUAAUACCCCAUAGUAUAGACGAAAGGUCAUCUUUUGUUUAUUAAAGAAUUUCGGAAACGGAUAGGCUCGCGUGACAUUAGCUAGAUGGCGGGGUAACGGCCCACCAUGGCGACGAUGUCUAGGGGUUCUGAGAGGAAGGUCCCCCACACUGGAACUGAGACACGGUCCAGACUCCUACGGGAGGCAGCAGUGAGGAAUAUUGGUCAAUGGACGCAAGUCUGAACCAGCCAUGCCGCGUGCAGGAUGACGGCUCUAUGAGUUGUAAACUGCUUUUGUAUGAGGGUAAUAUCAGGUACGUGUACCUGCUUGAAAGUAUCAUACGAAUAAGGAUCGGCUAACUCCGUG
rnacentral:rRNA from 1 species